rnacentral:rRNA from 1 species
GACGAACGCUGGCGGCGUGCCUAAUACAUGCAAGUAGAACGCUGAAGGAGGAGCUUGCUUCUCUGGAUGAGUUGCGAACGGGUGAGUAACGCGUAGGUAACCUGCCUGGUAGCGGGGGAUAACUAUUGGAAACGAUAGCUAAUACCGCAUAAUAGCAGUUGUUGCAUGAUAACUGUUUGAAAGGUGCAAUUGCACCACUACCAGAUGGACCUGCGUUGUAUUAGCUAGUUGGUGGGGUAACGGCUCACCAAGGCGACGAUACAUAGCCGACCUGAGAGGGUGAUCGGCCACACUGGGACUGAGACACGGCCCAGACUCCUACGGGAGGCAGCAGUAGGGAAUCUUCGGCAAUGGACGGAAGUCUGACCGAGCAACGCCGCGUGAGUGAAGAAGGUUUUCGGAUCGUAAAGCUCUGUUGUAAGAGAAGAACGAG